UACGGAGGAGGCAAGCGUUAUCCGGAAUUAUUGGGCGUAAAGCGUCCGCAGGUGGCACCUCAAGUCUGCUGUCAAAGACCGGGGCUUAACCCCAGAAAGGCAGUGGAAACUGAAGUGCUAGAGUGCAGUAGGGGUAGAGGGAAUUCCCGGUGUAGCGGUGAAAUGCGUAGAGAUCAGGAAGAACACCGGUGGCGAAAGCGCUCUGCUGGACCUUAACUGACACUGAGGGACGAAAGCUAGGGGAGCGAAUGGG
rnacentral:rRNA from 1 species